GAUGAACGCUGGCGGCGUGCCUAAUACAUGCAAGUCGAGCGAACAGAUGAGGAGCUUGCUCCUCUGACGUUAGCGGCGGAAGGGUGAGUAACACGUGGAUAACCUACCUAUAAGACUGGGAUAACUUCGGGAAACCGGAGCUAAUACCGGAUAAUAUAUUGAACCGCAUGGUUCAAUAGUGCAAGCCGGUUUUGCUGUCACUUAUAGCUGGAUCCGCGCCGCAUUAGCUAGUUGGUAAGGUAACGGCUUACCAAGGCAACGAUGCGUAGCCGACCUGAGAGGGUGAUCGGCCACACUGGAACUGAGACACGGUCCAGACUCCUACGGGAGGCAGCAGUAGGGAAUCUUCCGCAAUGGGCGAAAGCCUGACGGAGCAACGCCGCGUGAGUGAUGAAGGUCUUCGGAUCGUAAAACUCUGUUAUUAGUGAAGAACAAAUGUGUAAGUAACUAUGCACGUCUUGACGGUACCUAAUCAGAAAGCCACGGCUAACUACGUG
rnacentral:rRNA from 1 species